ensembl:lincRNA
UUACUAUCAUUAAUUUUUAUGCCAGCACACAAAUUGAUGAGGUUCGUUAUGGCAUUUUAAUAUAAUCCACCCCUUCUCCGUUGCCCCAGUCUCCUCUGGCUGGCCCCCUCCGAUUCCCCAAAUAACCCACGUUUCCACUCUUACGUCAUCUGUGAUCAUUUAUAAUUACGCAUACCUGCCCUUUGUUCACGUUGAUUUAUCGUCUGUAGUCACAACUUUCGAUAUGGAAAACCAUCUUUAGUCCGUUCUUUUCCCCUAUCUCUCUCAUUUUUCUUUCAGUUUUGGAAACCAGAAGUCUCACCAUGUUGUUCUGGCUUAUCUUGCAACUCGAGGAAAUCCUCCUGUCUCCGCCUUCCAAGCGCUGGGAUUACAGAGGAGGUUCAUCGUUCCCGGCUCUGCAACCCUUUAAAAAAAAGAGACAGAUCAAAGAUUUAACUGGAGAAUGGCUGUUUCUGCCAAGUUUUCCUGCUGAGAGCUGUUUUUACCGGCGAACACCAGCAUCACCCUGUCCGCCAGCGAAGUUCAUUCCGCCAAAGUGUUCCGGGUUUGUUUUAUGAUCCAUGGAGUCGAUUCACCUGAGACAGUGGCGCCCUCUGUGGGAAGGGUGGCGUCCACACCCUUGGAGAGAAAUCGCAAUCUGGACUCGCAGUCUACAAAACAUAAAAUCGUUUUAUAGAUUGUAGUCCAUGACGAUCUCUCAUACAUUAAAGCUUAAGAGACAUCAGUUGGAAUGCUCUCAAAAGAUUAAGAGGAUAGAAAUAUGUAUUUCUAUUCCCAAAUAAUCUUCCUGCUCCUGUCUUUGACUUUGUUUUCCCAUUUCGUGGUAUGAUUUCUGAACCACUGUACCAUAGUUGAAUAUGUGAAGUUCAUUUUCUUUUUAACAAACAUUUUGAAACACUGCAGUAAAGAUUGUGCUAACUUGUAAUGUAAACUGGAACGUUUGUUUCUUUGUAUUGUACUUUUAAAUAGGAUAAAUCUGUGUUCGUUGCCUGCAUUCUGUCUAGCUAAUAUUCAGAAAUGUUUGUAUUUAACAGUUUUAAGCUGUGGAAGAUUCCAUCCUGACUUAAAAUCUUUUGCAGCUGUAAUGAAAAUGUGGGCUGAAAGAUACACUCUGAAAUGGGAAGUCCCUGCUUUUCUUCAGGGACGAUAUCAGACCACUGUCCUGUGACACCAGCAGGGAAUUUUCAAAGCAGAAAGUUCCAAAAGACGUUCAUUCUCAGAACACUGUGUCUUACCGUUGGGAUGUAUUGCUCUGAAGAGAGGCUCAGGUACUGUUGAGAAUCCAAUAGCUGAUUGUCUUUUCUCAACCACGGAUUUGUAUUCCUCUCCCUUUCUCAGGUCCAUAGUGGAGCUUCACAGAAUCUCUUGUCACUAUUGUGUCAGGACAAAGUUAUCAACAAGUUCCAGCCAGAGAAAUUCAUCAGUCUGUGUUGUAAAAGGAGUGUGAUCAAAAUAGGAGCUAGAACACGGUGGUUAUUUCUCUGUAUCCUGUUAGGGUUCUGCAAACAUGGGAUAGAUUUCACCGACGAUAUUUACCUCUCAUGUUUAAGGAAGAAGAAAAAAGGAAGGCCCAGAACUGGGGCAGAGUAUGGUUCAGUGGUAGAGUUGCCUAGUGACAGUGAUCCUCUGGGUUCCAUUUCAGAACUGUAAAGAAGGAAGAAAAAAAAACUUAGCCUGAAAAAGCCAUAUGAAAUAUAGAAGUUCCAAAUACAUUAUUAUAUAUUUUUCUUUGUUUGUUUUGAGACAAGGCCUUACUUUGUAGUCCUGGCUGUCCUGGAACUCACUCUGUAUACCAGGCUGACUUCAAACUUACUGAGAUCCACCAGUCUCUGCCUCCCAAGUACUGGGAUUAAAGGUGUGCACCACCAUGCCCUGCUAACUUUGGUCUUAAGGAGUUCCACUUACCCCAUCCUGCUGUUUUAUUUUCAGACUGUCCUUCAGUAAGCUCACC